AGAGUUUGAUCAUGGCUCAGAACGUACGCUGGCGGCACGCCUAACACAUGCAAGUCGAACGAAGUAGCAAUACUUAGUGGCAGACGGGUGAGUAACAUGUAGGUAUCUGCCCUUUGGCCUGGAAUAACACGAGGAAACUUGUGCUAAUACCGGAUAAGUCUUUACGGAGAAAGCUUUAUGCACCAUUGGAUGAGCCUGCACUUGAUUAGUUUGUUGGUAGGGUAAUGGCCUACCAAGACUGUGAUCAAUAGCUGAUUUGAGAGGAUGAUCAGCCACAUUGGGACUGAGACACGGCCCAAACUCCUACGGGAGGCAGCAGUGGGGAAUCUUGCACAAUGGAGGAAACUCUGAUGCAGCGAUGCCGCGUGAGUGAAGAAGGCCCUUGGGUUGUAAAGCUCUUUCGUCGGGGAAGAAAAGGACUGUACCCGAAUAAGAA
rnacentral:rRNA from 1 species